CCUACGGGGGGCUGCAGUCGAGAAUCUUCCACAAUGGACGUAAGUCUGAUGGAGCGACACCGCGUGAUGGAAGAAGAGCUUCGGCUCGUAAACAUCUUUUAUGAGGGAAAAAGUUUAUUGAUGGUACCUCAUGAAUAAGGACCUGCAAAACUCGUGCCAGCAGCAGCGGUAAUACGAGUGGUUCAAGCGUUAUCCGGAAUUAUUGGGCGUAAAGGGUCUGUAGGUGGCUUAAUUAGUCUUUUGUUAAAUCUUCGAGCUCAACUUGAAGUCUGCAAGAGAAACGGUUAAGCUAGAAUAUAUUAGAGGUGAGCGGAACUCAUAGUGUAAGAGUGAAAUCUGUUGAUAUUAUGGGGAACACCAAAAGCGAAGGCAGCUCACUGGGAUAUUAUUGACACUGAAAGACGAAAGCGUGGGUAGCGAAUGGGAUUAGAUACCCCAGUAGUC
rnacentral:rRNA from 1 species